UUCCGGUUGAUCCCGCCGGACCUGACUGCUAUCGGAUUGAUACUAAGCCAUGCGAGUCAUUGUAGUAAUACAAGGCAGACGGCUCAGUAACGCGUAGUCAACCUAACCUAUGGACGGGAAUAACCUCGGGAAACUGAGUAUAAUGCCCGAUAGAACAUUAUGCCUGGAAUGGUUUAUGUUCCAAAUGAUUUAUCGCCGUAGGAUGGGACUGCGGCCUAUCAGUUUGUUGGUGAGGUAAUGGCCCACCAAGACUAUUACAGGUACGGGCUCUGAGAGGAGUAGCCCGGAGAUGGGUACUGAGACACGGACCCAGGCCCUAUGGGGCGCAGCAGGCGAGAAAACUUUGCAAUGUGCGAAAGCACGACAAGGUUAAUCCGAGUGGUUUCUGCUAAAGGAACCUUUUGUUAGUCCUAGAAACACUAACGAAUAAGGGGUGGGCAAGUUCUGGUGUCAGCCGCCGCGGUAAAACCAGCACCUCAAGUGGUCAGGAUGAUUAUUGGGCCUAAAGCAUCCGUAGCCGGCUCUGUAAGUUUUCGGUUAAAUCUGUACGCUCAACGUACAGGCUGCCGGGAAUACUGCAGAGCUAGGGAGUGGGAGAGGUAGACGGUACUCAGUAGGAAGGGGUAAAAUCCUUUGAUCUAUUGAUGACCACCU
rnacentral:rRNA from 1 species